GACGAACGCUGGCGGCGUGCUUAACACAUGCAAGUCGAACGGAAAGGCCCUGCUUUUGUGGGGUGCUCGAGUGGCGAACGGGUGAGUAACACGUGAGUAACCUGCCCUUGACUUUGGGAUAACUUCAGGAAACUGGGGCUAAUACCGGAUAGGAGCUCCUGCUGCAUGGUGGGGGUUGGAAAGUUUCGGCGGUUGGGGAUGGACUCGCGGCUUAUCAGCUUGUUGGUGGGGGAGUGGCUUGCCAAGGCUUUGACGGGUAGCCGGCCUGAGAGGGUGACCGGCCACAUUGGGACUGAGAGACGGCGCAGACGCCUACGGGAGGCAGAAGUGGGGAAUAUUACACAAUGGGCGGAAGCCUGAUGCAGCAACGCCACGUGCGGAAUGACGGCCUUCGGGUUGUAAACCGCUUUCGCCUGUUACGAAGCGUGAGUGACGGUAAUGGGUAAAGAAGCACCGGCUAACUACGUG
rnacentral:rRNA from 1 species